UACGGAGGGUGCAAGCGUUAUCCGGAUUCACUGGGUUUAAAGGGUGCGUAGGCGGUCAGGUAAGUCCGUGGUGAAAUCUCUGAGCUUAACUCAGAAACUGCCAUGGAUACUAUUUGUCUUGAAUGUUGUGGAGGUAAGCGGAAUAUGUCAUGUAGCGGUGAAAUGCUUAGAUAUGACAUAGAACACCAAUUGCGAAGGCAGCUUACUACACAAAUAUUGACGCUGAGGCACGAAAGCGUGGGGAUCAAACAGG
rnacentral:rRNA from 1 species